rnacentral:rRNA from 1 species
UGCAAUUCGUUGCACUAUCGUUAACUGAAUACAUAGGUUAACGAGGCGAACCGGGGGAACUGAAACAUCUAAGUACCCCGAGGAAAAGAAAUCAACCGAGAUUCCCCCAGUAGCGGCGAGCGAACGGGGAGCAGCCCAGAGUCUGAAUCAGCUUGUGUGUUAGUGGAACGGUCUGGAAAGUCCGACGGUACAGGGUGAUAGUCCCGUACACCAAAAUGCACAGGUUGUGAACUCGAAGAGUAGGGCGGGACACGUGGUAUCCUGUCUGAAUAUGGGGGGACCAUCCUCCAAGGCUAAAUACUCCUGACUGACCGAUAGUGAACCAGUACCGUGAGGGAAAGGCGAAAAGAACCCCGGCGAGGGGAGUGAAAAAGAACCUGAAACCGUGUACGUACAAGCAGUGGGAGCACCUUCGGGUGUGACUGCGUACCUUUUGUAUAAUGGGUCAGCGACUUAUAUUCUGUAGCAAGGUUAACCGUAUAGGGGAGCCGCAGGGAAACCGAGUCUUAACUGGGCGUUAAGUUGCAGGGUAUAGACCCGAAACCCGGUGAUCUAGCCAUGGGCAGGUUGAAGGUUGGGUAACACUAACUGGAGGACCGAACCGACUAAUGUUGAAAAAUUAGCGGAUGACUUGUGGCUGGGGGUGAAAGGCCAAUCAAACCGGGAGAUAGCUGGUUCUCCCCGAAAGCUAUUUAGGUAGCGCCUCGUGAAUUCAUCUUCGGGGGUAGAGCACUGUUUCGGCUAGGGGGUCAUCCCGACUUACCAACCCGAUGCAAACUACGAAUACCGAAGAAUGUUAUCACGGGAGACACACGGCGGGUGCUAACGUCCGUCGUGAAGAGGGAAACAACCCAGACCGCCAGCUAAGGUCCCAAAGUCAUGGUUAAGUGGGAAACGAUGUGGGAAGGCACAGACAGCCAGGAUGUUGGCUUAGAAGCAGCCAUCAUUUAAAGAAAGCGUAAUAGCUCACUGGUCGAGUCGGCCUGCGCGGAAGAUGUAACGGGGCUAAACCAUGCACCGAAGCUGCGGCAGCGACACUAUGUGUUGUUGGGUAGGGGAGCGUUCUGUAAGCCUGCGAAGGUGACCUGUGAGGGUUGCUGGAGGUAUCAGAAGUGCGAAUGCUGACAUAAGUAACGAUAAAGCGGGUGAAAAGCCCGCUCGCCGGAAGACCAAGGGUUCCUGUCCAACGUUAAUCGGGGCAGGGUGAGUCGACCCCUAAGGCGAGGCCGAAAGGCGUAGUCGAUGGGAAACAGGUUAAUAUUCCUGUACUUGGUGUUACUGCGAAGGGGGGACGGAGAAGGCUAUGUUAGCCGGGCGACGGUUGUCCCG